rnacentral:rRNA from 1 species
AUUGAACGCUGGCGGAAUGCUUUACACAUGCAAGUCGAACGGUAGAGGGGGCAACCCCUCGAGAGUGGCGAACGGGUGAGUAAUAUAUCGGAACGUGCCCAGUCGUGGGGGAUAACGUAGCGAAAGUUACGCUAAUACCGCAUACGAUCUAAGGAUGAAAGCGGGGGAUCGCAAGACCUCGCGCGAUUGGAGCGGCCGAUAUCAGAUUAGGUAGUUGGUGGGUAAAGGCUCACCAAGCCAACGAUCUGUAGCUGGUCUGAGAGGACGAACAGCCACACUGGAACUGAGACACGGUCCAGACUCCUACGGGAGGCAGCAGUGGGGAAUCUUGGACAAUGGACGCAAGUCUGAUCCAGCCAUUCCGCGUGCAGGAUGAAGGCCCUCGGGUUGUAAACUGCUUUUGUACGGAACGAAAAGGUCUCUCUUAAUACGGGGGGCUCAUGACGGUACCGUAAGAAUAAGCACCGGCUAACUACGUGCCAGCCGCCGCCGUAA